GACGAACGCUGGCGGCGUGCUUAACACAUGCAAGUCGAACGGAAAGGCCCUGCUUUUGUGGGGUGCUCGAGUGGCGAACGGGUGAGUAACACGUGAGUAACCUGCCCUUGACUUUGGGAUAACUUCAGGAAACUGGGGCUAAUACCGGAUAGGAGCUCCUGCUGCAUGGUGGGGGUUGGAAAGUUUCGGCGGUUGGGGAUGGACUCGCGGCUUAUCAGCUUGUUGGUUGGGUAGUGGCUUACCAAGGCUUUGACGGGUAGCCGGCCUGAGAGGGUGACCGGCGACAUUGGGACUGAGAGACGGACCAGAGUCCUACGGGAGGCAACAGUGGGGAAUAUUGCACAAUGGGCGGAAGCCUGAUGCAGCAACGCCGCGUGCGGGAUGACGGCCUGCGGGUUGUAAACCGCUUUCGCCUGUGACGAAGCGUGAGUGACGGUAAUGGGUGAAGAAGCACCGGCUAACUACGUG
rnacentral:rRNA from 1 species